rnacentral:rRNA from 1 species
GUAAACUCGUUCUGUCUUCGCACCCUGCGGAGGGAUCAUUAUUGAGUUUAUGCUCUACAACCCUUUGUGAACAUACCUAUAACUGUUGCUUCGGCGGGUAGGGUCUCCGUGACCCUCCCGGCCUCCCGCCCCCGGGCGGGUCGGCGCCCGCCGGAGGAUAACCAAACUCUGAUUUAACGACGUUUCUUCUGAGUGGUACAAGCAAAUAAUCAAAACUUUUAACAACGGAUCUCUUGGUUCUGGCAUCGAUGAAGAACGCAGCGAAAUGCGAUAAGUAAUGUGAAUUGCAGAAUUCAGUGAAUCAUCGAAUCUUUGAACGCACAUUGCGCCCGCCAGCAUUCUGGCGGGCAUGCCUGUUCGAGCGUCAUUUCAACCCUCAAGCUCUGCUUGGUGUUGGGGCCCUACAGCUGAUGUAGGCCCUCAAAGGUAGUGGCGGACCCUCCCGGAGCCUCCUUUGCGUAGUAACUUUACGUCUCGCACUGGGAUCCGGAGGGACUCUUGCCGUAAAACCCCCAAUUCUCCAAAGGUGACCUCGGAUCAGGUAGGAAUACCCGCUGAACUUG